UACGUAGGCAGCAAGCGUUGUUCGGAGUUACUGGGCGUAAAGGGUGUGUAGGCGGUUCUUUAAGUUUGGUGUGAAAUCUCCCGGCUUAACCGGGAGGGUGCGCCGAAUACUGAGGGACUCGAGUGCGGGAGAGGAAAGUGGAAUUCCUGGUGUAGCGGUGAAAUGCGUAGAUAUCAGGAGGAACACCGGUGGUGUAGACGGCGUUCUGGACUGCAACUGACACUGAGGAACGAAAGCCAGGGGAGCAAACAGG
rnacentral:rRNA from 1 species